rnacentral:rRNA from 1 species
UACGGAGGAUGCAAGCGUUAUCCGGAUUUAUUAGGUUUAAAGGGUGUGUAGGCGGAAUAAUAAGUCAGCGGUGGAAUACCACAGCUUAACUGUGGAACUGCCAUUGAUACUGUUGUUCUUGAAUGUGGUUGAGGUAGGCGGAAUGUGUAAUGUAGCGGUGAAAUGCUUAGAUAUUACACAGAACACCAAUUGCGAAGGCAGCUUACUAAGCUAUGAUUGACGCUGAGGCACGAAAGCGUGGGGAGCAAACAGG